ensembl:lncRNA CASC15 cancer susceptibility 15
AGUUGGAGAAAAUCACUGCCGAACAGUGCACUAAAGCCUCUGCCUUGGCCAUUCUGCCUUGGAGGAGGAGCCGAGAGUGAGACUGGGUGGUUUACAGACGUGUUCCUGCCAAAUGCCUUGGAAGAGACCUCAGAGGAUACCAGUCCGGGUUUAGGAUGCAUUUGCUGAUUAUUACUUAAGUGUGAAUCAUGGCAAUACAGUGAAAGACAGUGAUUUACUGCUUUUGAGGGCGUGCAUGUAUAUGAUUAACGGAUGGAAGUGCAGGACUCCAAGAUUUACUUCCUUCCCUUUCCAGCAGAAUUACCUGAGACGAGUAAAAUCUACUGGUGGAGUCACUCCAUUAUUCUUAUCUGUGGAGAUCUAGAUCUUGAUUUGAAAGUUUCUGAGAAAAUCUUCAGCUCAGACUUGAGGGUCAACUUUACCAGCUGAAGGAUCUGCAUUUACUGCUCAACCACAUCUAAUUUGAUGUCCUCUGCAGAUUUAAAAUGUGUGCCUUCUUUUCCGUCACCAAGUCAUCCCUGGGUUACUACUGAACAUCCUUCUCAAUUCCCCCCGACCCAUGGAUGGCUGUUCUCCAUUGUCUGUUUCACCAGAUGUCCUCAAAACAAACAGACAGAAGAAGGAAGUGGCUAAUGGAGCUGUGGAGUCCAAGUGUGACUGCCAAGAGGAAUCCAGCAAAGCCAAAAAGCCCAAGCAUGUAGCCCUGCCCGAAGCACGCCACACGCAUGGAAAACCCAGAGGAAAUGAGUGAGGAUCAAUGGGAAGAAGAGAGCCAGCCAGGAAGUUGAAGAUUUGUCCAGGAGCAGAUAGCUGAAGAGAGAGAGAGAGAAGAGAGAACGGCUUACAGCUCAGUUCUGGAGACCAGAAGGCCAAAAUCAAAAGUAUGGGCAGGCUUGAUUUCUUUAGAAGACUCCAGCGGAGAACUGUGUCUCCUUGCUUCUGAUUCUACAUCUCCAUCCAUGGGCCACUGUUUCAGCAACCUCAGCCAGUGCAACACAACCUCAGCCAAGAAGAGUAUGCAGAGAAAGGAGUCCCCUACCUGCCACAAAACUGUUGUCUGAAAACUGUCUCAUAUUGUCUCAAGUUGUCAUUCAUUGUGAAUUAGACCUGUUUAACAUGUAAUCUGCAACAUGCUUCACUGUCUAAUUUUCCAGAGCCCCUCAUAUAAGGAACUGUAUUAUUGGUAUAAUCAUCAUGGUGAAGAAGUUGGUAUGUGGGGGAGAGAUGACAGAAACAGAGAGUAAGUCAGAGCUGGCUGCCUGACAGAUAAAAAGGAAAUGACCAAAAAAAAAAAAAAAGACACAGAAGAA